rnacentral:tRNA from 1 species
GAAAGUGUAGUUAAACAAUAACAUGAAUAUGUCAAAUUCAAAUUACCACAUUAGUCACAUUCA